UAGGGAAUUUUGGACAAUGGGCGCAAGCCUGAUCCAGCCAUGCCGCGUGUGGGAAGAAGGCCUUCGGGUUGUAAACUGCUUUUGUACGGAACGAAACGACUCUGUCUAAUACAUGGGGCUAAUGACGGUACCGUAAGAAUAAGCACCGGCUAACUACGUGCCAGCAGCCGCGGUAAUACGUAGGGUGCGAGCGUUAAUCGGAAUUACUGGGCGUAAAGCGUGCGCAGGCGGUUUUGUAAGACAGAGGUGAAAUCCCCGGGCUCAACCUGGGAAUUGCCUUUGUGACUGCAAGGCUUGAGUGCGGCAGAGGGGAAUGGAAUUCCGCGUGUAGCAGUGAAAUGCGUAGAUAUGCGGAGGAACACCGAUGGCGAAGGCAAUCCCCUGGGCCUGCACUGACGCUCAUGCACGAAAGCGUGGGGAGCAAACA
rnacentral:rRNA from 1 species